AAGUUGUUAGUUUUGACUUAGUUGAAUAUUUUUUAUAUUACUUUCUUUUCAAAAGGACUUGUGGAAACUGCUAAAAUCUAAUACAAUAAUACUAAGUCAUUCAUAAAAAAUUUAAAAGCUAAGUAAGAAGGGAGCAAAUGAAUGGAAGAGGAUUUUUCAAUAAUUUUAGACUGAGAAAGCCUUUAACAGUCAAGCUCGGACCUUUGUGUUGAACUAGUGAUCUAGGAACAGUAGUAGUACCUUACGAGGUUACUUCCUUUAAAAUUUUUUUUAAAAAUUGAUUUUAUUUGUUGUUCUACUUAUUUAUGCAUUCAUUCAUUGGUUGCUUUUUGCAUGUGUCCUGCCUGGAGAUUGAACCCAUAGCCUUGAAGCACUGGGACAGAGCUCUCUAGCCAACUGAGUUCCUGCCCGGGGCUGUGCUUACUUUCUUGUAGCUUAAAAAUGAUAGGAGGCAUAACUGUUUUGAUGCAUAGACAUUUUGAUGUAGUUUUGAAAGAUUUUAUCAUUUUUAGUGCCAAACUAUGUAAACAGAUAAAAUCACUCCAGGAGUGGGGACCAGGGAUGAAGUGAGAGAUACAGAGAUAAAGUGUAGGGUAUGGGUUCCCCCUGGUGGACAAACUAAAAAUAAUCCAGAGUCAUAAGUUUACCGUACUGAU